AACUUGGUUUUCGAGCAUUUCGCUGCCCCUGGAGAGCAAUGGGCCCCACGUCCAAUUCAUCAAGUGCCUAAUGAGUGGCCUAGGAGGUCCCGGCCCAUCCAUUCCAGAAGCUCUCUGCCUCGUAAAGGCAGAAGAAUUUCAACAGUUACCCUGCACGCUUGCAAGAAGAUUGCAGGCUCACGGCGGAGAGCUAGUGAUUUGGCCAACUUCCUGGAUGUUCAUUUCUGGUUCUGCACAAAAGAGCUACAUUUCCUUUUGGAAUCGGGACCAGGAGACAGAGAGACAGCUGCAGACCCUGGAAAUUGUUGUGAGGCUUCGAGAUUGUGAAUGAAAAGGCUGGGUCCUUGGAACGUGCUGGAUAGAAGAAUGCAUCGAGACUGUCUUUGGGCCAAUUCCCGGAAUCCCAGAAAUAAACGGCCAGAGGGGCCACCAGGAAUCACAUCUCGGCCACCCACAAGCUGGGUGACCCUGGAUGAGGAAACUGGAGAGGCCCGGAGGAAUUCCCCACUUGCACAAGAUUCCUGUUGAUGAACGGUGGGGCUGGGAUUUGAAUUGAGGCCUUCUAGGAUCUUCUCCACGAUCUGGGCUGUGGACACGGCGGAAGAGGCCCGAGUGGCAGAAUCAGCAGGUUCCUAGACAAGAUGUGAUCGAGCUAAGGAUUUGCGAUGAGAUCAUCCCGGGUUACUGGCCAGGCCCUAAAUCCAAUAACAAGUUGUGUCUCUUAUAAGAGACACAGAGGAAAGAC